rnacentral:rRNA from 1 species
UACGUAGGGUGCGAGCGUUAAUCGGAAUUACUGGGCGUAAAGCGUGCGUAGGCGGUUCGUUAAGUUCGUUGUGAAAGCCCCGGGCUCAACCUGGGAAUGGCAAUGGAAACUGGCGGGCUUGAGUAUGGCAGAGGGGGGUGGAAUUCCGCGUGUAGCAGUGAAAUGCGUAGAGAUGCGGAGGAACACCGGUGGCGAAGGCGACAUCCUGGACCGGUAUUGACGCUGAGGCGCGAAAGCCAGGGGAGCAAACGGG